UGAAAGGUUGACCUCGGAUCAGGUAGGGAUACCCGCUGAACUUAAGCAUAUCAAUAAGCGGAGGAAAAGAAACCAACAGGGAUUGCCCUAGUAACGGCGAGUGAAGCGGCAACAGCUCAAAUUUGAAAUCUGGCGCAAGCCCGAAUUGUAAUUUGUAGAGGAUGCUUCGAGGCAGCGGCCGGUCUAAGUUCCUUGGAACAGGACGUCAUAGAGGGUGAGAAUCCCGUACGUGACUGGUUGGCACCUCACACGUAGCUCCUUCGACGAGUCGAGUUGUUUGGGAAUGCAGCUCUAAAUGGGAGGUAAAUUCCUUCUAAAGCUAAAUACCGGCCAGAGACCGAUAGCGCACAAGUAGAGUGAUCGAAAGAUGAAAAGCACUUUGGAAAGAGAGUUAAAAAGCACGUGAAAUUGUUGAAAGGGAAGCGCUUGCAACCAGACUUGACGGCGGCGUUCAACCGGUCUUCUGACCGGCCCACUCGUCGCCGGCAGGCCAGCAUCGUCUCGGGCCGCCGGAGAAAGGCGUGAGGAAUGUGGCUCCUCCGGGAG
rnacentral:rRNA from 1 species